CGAGGCGCGUGUGUGGGGUUGUGCGUGAAAUUAUGGCGGCGCAGAUUACCUCAGAAAUAAUCGAAAUCUUCAGUGACCUCAGAUCAACUGAAACUAGUGUUUUCAAACCGAUAUCAGGUCGGCUCGUCUGAGGCGUUCGUGCCAAGCGCACUGGACUAAUCUACGUCUCCCGACGGACUCCAUUGCCUCUCAAUGCGGCAGAAGUCUCACUUCUGGUGUACACAGCUCUCACUCUGCAUGUCAUGCAGCGCGUCGUCAUCACGGUUCUACCUGAUCCGCAAAACAGACCCACAGCUUAACACUAAGCAUUCGUGUACUGGGCGACGAGGGCUAUCUUGGUCUUUUCAACGCGCGUUCUCUCUCAUUUCAGUUCGCCUCACAUCCAAUCACGACAAACGCAUCGGUCGGGUGAUGCUAUAUUUCAAAUAAUUACCUGACCGAGUAAGUAGGCUCGCAGCAACCUCCACACCGUAGCACUCAGCGCCAAGUGGCCGCGUCGCAGGAAGCGAUGUCCCGGCCGGCCAGGAAACAUGUGACUGGCUGCGUAACUAAGAAGUGCGGGCCGAGGGGUGGCUGCCAGCAAACGCAGAUUUCAAGCGUCGUGCAGUACGUGACAGACAGAUAGCCGAAGUGAAUUCACUUCGCUGUUUGUUUCGAUACAGGCACCUUGCCGAAAUAUCAAUGCAUCUAUAGCUCUAUUCUCCUCGUUUUUCUCCCGAGCGAUAAGCCUAUUGUCAUUGUCUUGUCUAUGUGAACAAUAUUCCUCGCAAAUGCACUUAACGCCUUCCACAUACUCUUCGAUACAUCAUUGUUGGUACAUCAUGUUGGUACAUCAUGGCACCUUGCACAACAUUGACUGAGAGCCAAUCGACGGCCGUUGUAUCUGGAAAUCGCGCUCACGAACGCCUGAUAUGAACGAAUCUACCAUUGUAUGUUCAUUGGCCUGAAUCACCGCGUCGCUUAUUGAGCGGCGGGGUUUGAGUGACUUUAUUAUGGCGUCACAAAUGCCGAGGUGGUCUUGAAAUACUCGCCCCGAAAAAGGCCCCUUAUAUUCGCGGGCAUGUAGUUCGGAAACUAGAGGGGAUUAGGCCUUAAGAUGGGCGGGGCUGCUAACUGCACAAACUGACCUUUAAGAUGGCUAUUUCAGUUCAAAACCAUCACGGAAAUGUGGGGCACUCUCUAACAUAUGCCUCAAAGAGUAAACAUAAGCGCGUUUUGCGGUCAGUUAUGAUGUCGUGCUGGGGAUGUCGGUCGUCGAAUCACAUCGGUCGAUGUACAUCAAUGUAGACGUUCACCCAAACCCAAAAGUACCCAUCAUGUGCUUUCGAGCGAACUGGGUUUGUGGAACAUGCCUCAUUUUACGGUGACGAAAGUGACGGAACGUAAAAAGAAAGAAAAACUGCAACGACGAUCACUGUUGCAAAAAUCACAUUUACACGUUCAGUUUUAACUCUUUUCCAGACAAAUCAGACCAUACGGGUACCGAUUUUGACGGGUCACGUCUCCAUCUAAACCUGAGGGUUCGAACAGCCUCUGCAAGUGAUCAGGCAACUUCAGUGGCGUCCUUGCAAAGGCCCAAGAGUGGGACAAACUUCCACUUUUUCCUUAAACUUCGUGGACUUUUUAAGGUGACUGCAUUUUAGCCCUUGCAUAUUACAUAUCUGACGACCAGAAAAGCACCGCUGCAAGGCACCUCAAAUUCGUGGCGAAAGCACGAUCUUGAGAACACACGAUGCAGUCAUGUUUCAUGCCCAACACAGUUGCGAUGUAAGGCGCAGCUUUCUCCAUUCAGCUCCACGUUGUAAUGCUCGUAUCCGCCUCUGGGCAUAACCCGAAU